AUAAAAUAAAUUUUAAUAUAAAAAUAUUUAAUGGGGGUUAAAGUAUUUUUAAUAGAAAAAAUUUAAAAUUUUAUAGAAAAUCAGUAUUGUGUAAGAAAUUUGAAAUAAUUUUGAAAAAAAAAUUAUAUAAAAGUAAAUUUAAUUUAUUGUAUCUUGUGUAUCAGAGUUUAUUAAAAAUUAUUUAUAAAUUAAAUUUCUCGAAUUUAAAAGAGUUAAUUAAUUAAAAAAUUUAUUGUUUCAUAAAUAUUUUAAAUAAUUAAUUUGAAAUGAAAUGUUAUUCGUUUUUAAAUAUAUCUAGUUUUUUUAAAAAAAAAUUUAAUUUUGAAUUAAAUUUUAAAAUUAAAUAAAUAUUUAUUUAAUUUUAAAAUUUAAUUAAAUAUUUUAAGGGAUAAGCUUUAAAUUAAAUUUUUAUAAUAAAUUAAAAUUAUUUUGAAAAUUUUAUAAUUUAUAUUGUUAAUAAAAUUUAAUUUAUUAUAAAUAAUUUCAAUAAAAUUAAAAUUUAAUUUAAAAAUUUAAUUUUUUAUAAAAAAAAAAUAAUAAAUUAUUUCAUAUUGGUUAUAAUGAUAAAAUUAGUAUUUAAAAUUUAUUUAUUUGUAAAUUUUUAUUUUAUAAUAAUUAUAAAAAAGGAAUUCGACAAAUAUUAUAUUCACCUGUUUAUCAAAAACAUGUCUUUUUGUUAAUAAUAUAAAGUCUAAUCUGCCCACUGAUUUAUAUUAAAGGGCUGCAGUAUAUUGACUGUACAAAGGUAGCAUAAUCAUUAGUCUCUUAAUUGGUGACUUGUAUGAAAGAUUGGAUGAAAUAUAAAUUGUCUCUAUUAUAUAUUAAUGAAUUUAAUUUUUUAAUUAAAAAGUUAAAAUUUUUUAAAAAGACGAGAAGACCCUAUAGAGUUUUAUAUUUUAUUUUAUUUAAUUUAUAUUUUUAAGUAAUAAUUUAAAUAAAAUAAAUUAUUUUAUUGGGGUGAUGAAAAAAUUUAAUUAACUUUUUUUUAUAUUAAACAUUGAUAAUUGAAUUAUUGAUCCAAUAUUAUUGAUUAUAAGAAAAAAUUACCUUAGGGAUAACAGCGUAAUUUUUUUUUUUAGUUCAAAUAAGAAAAAGAGUUUGCGACCUCGAUGUUGGAUUAAGAUAAAAUUUAAAUGCAAAAGUUUAAAAUUUUGAUCUGUUCGAUCAUUAAAAUCUUACAUGAUCUGAGUUCAAACCGGUGUAAGCCAGGUUGGUUUCUAUCUUUUGAAAAUUUUAAUAUUUUAGUACGAAAGGAUCAAAUAUUAUAAUUAAAUUAAUUUAUUUGAAUU
rnacentral:rRNA from 1 species